UCCAAAGAUCAUUCAACUUUCCAACUCCAAAGGCUAUUUAAAUCAUUCAUCUUCUCCUGCAGUAUUUCCUCAGCACCGAAUACCUAUCUUAGAACUAUUUUCUUAAGAACUAAAUAUGGAAGAAGAAUUGUCCACUGUUAGAAUAUUUACUACUUUAAUCCAAAUGAGGAUAUAGCCUUUAUCUAAUUUUGUUAAUGCACGUUUAAUUUGGAAGAUGAAAUGAAGAUCACUGGAAUAGCAACACUCUGAAAAAUGGCCGUCUGCCAGUCUCGGUGAAGAUAAAUUGAAAAUUUUCCGUUUCAUUCAUUUUCCAAAUCAUUGGGCUGAUAAUGCAUGGCAGCGUAACGUAACAUAACCCCAAAAUAGUUCGAAAACCCUUUCUUAACUGUUUAUAAUAUUAAAAACUAGCACCAAAUUAAUUAUCGCAAAUUAGUGCAUUUAAGCAUCCUGCUAAAAGAUUAUUUAAAAAAAAAAAAAAAAAAAUUAAACAGUCAGUUGAAAACUCAGCAGUACGACAUUCUUGGAAUGAUUAAAAUAUGACCUUUAGUGGAGUGUCUCUGAAGAGAAAUUAAAAAAAAUUUAAUUUGAUUUUCAUUUAAUAAUGAAGAGACUUAUUCAUUGAUGUACAUUCUUUUUUACUGGGUUAUUUGCGGUGAGGGUUGCUACUGAUAUUUCCUUCAGAUGCUAUAGCGACAAUUUUUAUUUUGCCAAGAUUAAAUUUAAUAAAAGCAUUAACACCUUCUUUGAGAUGAUAUUCAUAAAUAUUGUUUAUUUGCAAUAUCACGCAAUGAUUUGAUUUACCAAACAAUGAAAAAUGACUCAGUCUUGAAACCGAAGUAAGUUAAGGAAUACCAAGAAGAGGCAAAUUAAAAAAUACAACUCCUUACGGCAAGUAAUCAUUUCCUUCCGAGAGACUCUUAUAGAAUGUUCUGCAGCUUCUAGCAAGUGGCUUUAUAAUCCAUUAUUUAGAGUAGGCACUUCAAGUUCAUUUUCUGCUGUCUGGUUUGCCUCGUGACCAUGGUAACAGCAGCUUCGAAAGAUGGUUAGACUGCCUUAAUCCCCUUUCCACAUCCACUUCAUUUCCUUUUUAUGUGUAGAAACACGUUAAAAAUAAAUGAAGUGGGUGUAAAGAACGAAGAGAACUUCGUGAAAAACCCACGAAUGAAGAUUGACUUGGACUACAAUAUCAAAUGAGAUAGAGAAAAUAAGUGCUGUGCAGUGAAUGACACCUAUUACGAUCGUAAAUGAGGGAGGGGUCGAAAAGAUUUUUAAGUGCUUCAAGUAAUAGACUAAGCAGCAUCAUGCUGCAUGUAAUAUACUCUGAGGAUAUAAAAAAAAAAAAAAAAAACUUUGGUAAAUAAGUACAAAA